AAGGAUUUAAGUUAAUUAAACUUUUAACCUUCAAAGUUGACAAUAGGAGAAAAUUUGGCC
rnacentral:tRNA from 1 species